rnacentral:lncRNA from 1 species
CAUUAAUCUCGGGCAAUAGCGAUAUUUGCCUUCCACUGUUGACGUUUAAUCAUGGUUCAAGUUGUCCAAGCAUUCAUCCGUCCUCAACAAAACCGUGUAAGUUGAAUAUCGAUUUGCUGAAAUCAGCCCAAACUAUCAGUUGGGAUGUGUUGUGUUUGGUCCCGCUUCCCAUUGGAUGACUUCGGUCAAGUUGCAUCAAGAACAAUCCUAACGGUAACACAACUAGCGCCACGAGUUUCCAAAUAUUAUAAUUUUAUGAAAUAACAAAGUAGAGAACAAUGUGCCAUUCUAAUGGUGGGCGUGUAUUACAGCUUUAUUACGGAGAGGCUGUAUUCGUAGUUCGAAUCUAUGAUCUCUAUAUCAUAAUGGAGAAAUGUAACUUACCAUUGCGCCAAGCAUGCAUAUCAAAAGACCAGAUCUCCAAAAACAAAACUUAGGUUUGACUCCAAAAAAUGGCUAUGGCAAGCAUAGGAUAAUUGAGACCGAACUCCUAGAUUGUUGGCUGGUCAUUUUAUAUUUAUCUUUAUUUAAUGCAAAAAACAGUGAAGAAAAUGAAAAUUUUCUUUGGUGAAAAAGAAAAGAAACAAAAAAGAUGUUGGGGAUUUUUUAUUGUUUGAGGUUUUGAUGAUCAUUUUAUGUUUAAUUCAAAAAUUAUUUAUGAAUGUAUACAAAGAAGGGAUAAUUGUAGAUAGAAACAAGCCUAACUCUAUCCAAGAUAUAGACUUAAUUAUGCACGGAGAUUAAAUGUAAAUUUUUGCAGCAUGUUACCUAAAUAUAAAACGGUAGUCAAAUGUAGGACAGCUAUUAAGUUCCGAGAUGUGGAAAUUUGCCGUGAGCCUUCGACAAAUCUUUUAUUCUCAAGUUUCUAUUGGUGUUCAUGCUGCAUGGCUUC